AUUGAACGCUGGCGGCAGGCCUAACACAUGCAAGUCGAGCGAGCGGCGGACGGGUGAGUAAUGUAUGGGGACUGCCCGAUAGAGGGGGAUAACUACUGGAAACGGUAGCUAAUACCGCAUACUAUCGGAUAACCCAUAUGGGAUUAGCUAGUAGGUGAGGUAAUGGCUCACCUAGGCGACGAUCCCUAGCUGGUCUGAGAGGAUGAUCAGCCACACGGGGACGGAGACACGGCCCAGACUCCUACGGAGGCAGCAGUGGGGAAUAUUGCACAAUGGGCGCAAGCCUGAUGCAGCCAUGCCGCGUGUAUGAAGAAGGCCCUAGGGUUGUAAAGUACUUGCAGUCGGGAGGCGUUACCGGCAGAAGAAGCACCGGCUAACUCCGUGCCAGCCGCCGCGGUAAUAC
rnacentral:rRNA from 1 species